rnacentral:rRNA from 1 species
UACGAAGGGUGCAAGCGUUACUCGGAAUUACUGGGCGUAAAGCGUGCGUAGGUGGUCGUUUAAGUCCGUUGUGAAAGCCCUGGGCUCAACCUGGGAACUGCAGUGGAUACUGGGCGACUAGAGUGUGGUAGAGGGUAGCGGAAUUCCUGGUGUAGCAGUGAAAUGCGUAGAGAUCAGGAGGAACAUCCAUGGCGAAGGCAGCUACCUGGACCAACACUGACACUGAGGCACGAAAGCGUGGGGAGCAAACAGGAUUAGAUACCCUGGUAGUCCACGCCCUAAACGAUGCGAACUGGAUGUUGGGUGCAAUUUGGCACGCAGUAUCGAAGCUAACGCGUUAAGUUCGCCGCCUGGGGAGUACGGUCGCAAGACUGAA